AAUAUUUUUCAAUGGUCGCAAGCCUGCUGCAGCCAUGCCGCGGGUGUGAAGAAGGUCGUCGGAUGGUAAAGAACUUUAAUUUGGGAGGAAGGGCAGUUAACGAAUACUUAACUGUUGUGAUUGUACUAAAAGAAUAAGCACCGGCUACCUUCGUCCCAGCAGCCGCGGUAAUACGAAGGGGGCAAGAGUCAUUCGGAAAUAUUGGGCGUAGAGCGCGCGUAGGUGGUUCGGUAAGUUAGAAGUGAAAGCCCCGGGCUCAACCUAGGAAUUGCUUUCAAAACGGGAGAGCUAGAGUACGGUAGAGGAUAGUGGAAUUUACUGUGUAGCGGUGAAAUGCGUAGAUAUAAGAAGGAACAUCAGUGGCGAAGGCGACCACCUGGACUGAUACUGACACUGAGGUGCGAAAGCGUGGGGAGCAAACAGG
rnacentral:rRNA from 1 species